rnacentral:ncRNA from 1 species
AGGUAGUUUUAUUCUUGCUUUUCUGUUCAGUAUUUUCUUGUUUUAUAUGUAAGUUUUUGCGUGAUUUAUGUUUUAAUUUCUUGAUGGUUUAAAGGUUGGUACGUAUUUAGCAUGUUGUUAAUCGCAUUAUUUAUUAUUAUAUGUCUAGGUUUCUAGGAUUUAGCAGUGAAAUUUAGUGGUGGCUAAGUUUGUGCCAGCAGCCGCGGUUAUACAUUAAGUGCUAUUGAAUAUUUUCGGUUAUGCAGUUUGAUUAGUGUUGUUUUUGGCAAAAGUCCUUUAGUUUUUAGGUGGAAUUAUUUAUUUUUGGUUAUUGCUUUUUUUCUGUGUUUGUAGGCUGUGAAAUCUUUAUUUUAAACUAGGAUUAGAUACCCUAUUAUUUUUGAUGUUAAUUGUAUUUUCCUGGGUAGUAUUAGGUAUGUUCUUGAAACCUAAAGAAUUUGGCGGUAUUUUAUUCCUUUCAGAGGAAUCUGCCCUGUAAUCGAUAAUCCGCGUUGGACCUUACUUAAUUCUUUGUUUGUAUACCGCCGUUAUAAUGAAGAUCUUUUUAGUGUUUAUAAUUUUCUAGUUUCGUUAAUGUGGUUUAUUUCAGGUCAAGGUGCAGCUUGUUUUUAAGUUUGAGGUGGAUUACAUUGUGUUAAUGGAUUUGUGGAUUAUUGGUUGUUAUUGAUUAGUAUGAAAUUGGAUUUGAUUGUAAUUUAAUGAAGAUUGCUUGAAUGAUAUUGGUUCUAAAAUAUGUACACAUCGCCCGUCGCUCUCAUUAUAUUAGUUGAGAUAAGUCGUAACAAAGUGGUCGUACCGGAAGGUGUGGCUGGAAUGUC